GAUGAACGCUGGCGGUAUGCUUAACACAUGCAAGUCGAACGGACUCUUCGGAGUUAGUGGCGGACGGGUGAGUAACGCGUGAGAAUCUGGCUUUGGGUUCGGGACAACCACUGGAAACGGUGGCUAAUACCGGAUGUGCCGAGAGGUAAAAGAGAAAUUGCCUGAAGAUGAGCUCGCGUCUGAUUAGCUAGUUGGUGAGGUAAAGGCUCACCAAGGCAGCGAUCAGUAGCUGGUCUGAGAGGAUGACCAGCCACACUGGGAAUGAGACACGGCCCAGACUCCUACGGGAGGCAGCAGUGGGGAAUUUUCCGCAAUGGGCGAAAGCCUGACGGAGCAAUACCGCGUGAGGGAAGAAGGCUCUUGGGGUGUAAACCUCUUUUCUUAGGGAAGAACAAAAUGACGGUACCUAAGGAAUCAGCAUCGGCUAACUCCGUG
rnacentral:rRNA from 1 species